UAAACAUUUUUAAUUUUUCGAAGAAAAGUAUACUUAUCAACGUAUAAAAAUUAAUUCUCCUAAAAUCAUUCGAAUCUUAAAAACUUCCAAUAUUUGACGUUCUAAAAACACCAUACGUCAGAGUUGGUUUUCGCGUUAUUCGUAGUGAAACCGCAGUCGCAAUUAGAACGAAUUCGGCAUCGAAAGACGAGUUUAAUUCGGCGGAAUUAGGAGUGCGGAACCUGCUCUUCCCCGUUCGGGAAACUCCGGAAAUUUCAAGAGUUCGUCUGGACGUCUCGAAGGGGAGAACGGAAAAAAGAACCCAAAUGUGGAAGGAGGACCGGGUAUAGGGAUCGGGGUAUCGCCAACGUGGAUUUCAUUCAAGGAAGGAAUACAACGCGAGACCGCGAUGUUAUCUUGCAAAUUACUGUUACUAUGCGGUCGAUCGAUUAUUCCAACAUGAGCCGGUGGUUAUCACCAUCGACGAGAUUUCGCAGUAUAUUUGGCGGAAUAUGUUUUUUGUGAUAAAAAUUAAAAAAAAAAAAAAAAUAAAAAGUUUUUAAAAGAGAAAAAUUAGUUAUAAAAAUUAUACCUUCUUAUGGAAAAAAAAAUGUAAAAAAUUUCGAAUUUUUAUAAUUUGAUAAUUUAAUUCUUUCUGUAAAAAAUAAAAAAUUCUAUAAUUAAAAGCAAUUUUAAUGAUAA